rnacentral:lncRNA from 1 species
UUGUACUACAAUGUCCAUUUAUCUUGAGAUGAGGUUUUCUUUUUUUAUAAGACCGAAAAGGGAGUAAAGAGCCUUGUCAGCCGCCCGCCGCUGCACAAUAAAACACUUUACAGUGGUGGGGGGUGGCGUGUCACCUGUGGUCCACUGGGUCCCCUGACCGGCGGUUUACUCGUGCGUGACCCCUCUGAUUGGCUGUGCCGGGAGACCAGGUGGUUUGUAUCAGGAAGUAGAUAACCAUAACAUGCUUAUUUACGUAGGCUAUAGGAGGUACUUCCUCUUUGGCAACCGAGUCAUGUGAGCCCAUUGAUGGGCGUACGGCAGUGUGUGUGUUUGUGUUUCACUACCUUCACACUAUGUUAACAGUUACCGAAAAGGCAGAGUGCAUGUGAAACACUUCAAUUUGAUGUAGCUAGUUCAUAUAAGAUGGCACGACAACAUGGCUUUGAGUAAUGCGACAAUGGAGAUCACUGAGUUGGACUAUAGGUGUCUGUUGGUUGGAUUACAGAUGUCAACAGUUCCUUGUAGAAGAACAACCUGAUGCUGAAGUUUUGUGCGGGCUUCUCGGUUGAUCAACGCUUGCAUUGUUGACCAUUUGACUUGGGUUUAUAGUAAUUGCCAUGGCAAUCAGUGUAGCCCGUCUCCGGAGCAUUGUAACUGUCGAGCCGGUUAUUCUGCUCUACAUGACUGCCUUGUUUCUAGUGACCCCUGCCUAUCAACAACUGAUCAUCAGUAAGAUCUGCAGUGAGCAGUACGGGCCGGCCAGCGCAGAGUGCAAGGACCUGGCGGCCUACCCUGAGGCGCAUCAGUCGGUGCAGCGCUCGUCCUCCAUGGUGAUCCUGCUCUACACCUCCGUGCUCUCCGUGCUCUCCAUCCCCCCGGCCAUGCUGCUGGGCUCCUGGUCGGACCAGAGGCAGCGCUCCGACGGAGGUUUUCGGGGCAGCAGGCGCAGUUUGGUUCUGCUAUUGCCCUGUAUCCUUUCCCUGGCCAGCGGAGGCCUGCUCAUCGCCAUAGCGAUGGUGGACCAGUUGGGGGUACUCUGGAUGCUGAUGGCGGCCGGCUUGGUCGGACUUUCGGGAGGUACAAGUUCCCUGUUCUUAAGGUAA